GGCAACGUGGCUGAGUGGUUAUAGCGUACGACUAGAAUUUAUAGAAUUUAUUCUAUAUCAUCUUGCAAUCGUAUCCCUUCGGGGUCGUAGGUUCAAAUCCUGCCGUUGUCG